AGGGUUUGAUCCUGGCUCAGGACAAACGCUGGCGGCGUGCUUCAUACAUGCAAGUCGAACGUGAACUCGGGAGCUUGCUCCCGGGAGAAAGUGGCGAACGGGUGAGUAACGCGUGGAUAACCUGCCCUUCAGCGGGGGAUAACCAUCCUAACGGGUGGCUAAUACCGCAUAAAGCCUUUUAAUCUCAUGAUUUGAAGGUGAAAGAUGACUUCGGUUGUCACUGGGGGAUGGAUCCGCGUCCCAUCAGGUAGUCGGUGAGGUAAAAGCUCACCAAGCCAACGACGGGUAGCCGGCCUGAGAGGGUGAUCGGCCACAUCGGGACUGAGAUACGGCCCGGACUCCUACGGGAGGCAGCAGUAGGGAAUAUUGCCCAAUGGACGAAAGUCUGAGGCAGCAACGCCGCGUGAGGGAUGAAGGUGUUUUUCAUCGUAAACCUCUUUCAGUAGGGACGAAAUCCGUCGAGUUACUACCUCUGCGGUCUGACGGUACCUACAGAAGAAGCACCGGCUAACUACGUGCCAGCAGCCGCGGUAAAACGUAGGGUGCAAGUGUUGUCCGGAUUCAUUGGGUGUAAAGGGUCCGCAGGCGGACUAUCAAGUCAGAAGUGAAAUCUCCAGGGCUUAACCCGGAGCGUGCUUUUGAUACUGGUAGCCUUGAGAACAGGAGAGGAUGGAGGAAUUCCUGGUGUAGCGGUGGAAUGCGUAGAUAUCAGGAAGAACGCCGACGGUGAAGACAUCCAUCUGGCCCUGUUACUGACGCUCAUGGACGAAAGCGUGGGGAGCGAACAGGAUUAGAUACCCUGGUAGUCCACGCCCUAAACGAUGGGUACUAGGUGUCGGGGGUAUCGACCCCCUCGGUGCCGAAGCUAACGCAUUAAGUACCCCACCUGGGGAGUACGAUCGCAAGGUUGAAACUCAAAGGAAUUGACGGGGGCCCGCACAAGCGGUGGAGCAUGUGGUUUAAUUCGACGCAACGCGAAGAACCUUACCCAGGCUUGACAUGUUAGAGAAAACCAGCGAAAUCUGGUCCUCUCCUUCGGGAGACUCUAUCACAGGUGCUGCAUGGCUGUCGUCAGCUCGUGUCGUGAGAUGUUGGGUUAAGUCCCGCAACGAGCGCAUCCCUCGUUUCUAGUUGCCAGCGAGUAAUGUCGGGGACUCUAGAGAGACUGCCGGUGAUAAGCCGGAGGAAGGUGGGGAUGACGUCAAGUCCUCAUGGCCCUUACGCCUGGGGCUACACACGUGCUACAAUGGUCGGUACAGAGGGUCGCAAUACCGCGAGGUGGAGCUAAUCCCUAAAGCCGGCCUCAGUUCGAAUUGCAGUCUGCAACUCGACUGCAUGAAGUCGGAAUCGCUAGUAAUCGCGUAUCAGCAAGACGCGGUGAAUACGUUCCCGGGCCUUGUACACACCGCCCGUCAAGCGAUGGGAGCCGGGGGUACCCGAAGUCGAUUAUCUAACCCGCAAGGGAAGAAAUCGACGAAGGUAAAAUCGGUGACUGGCGCUAAGUCGUAACAAGGUA
rnacentral:rRNA from 1 species